rnacentral:misc_RNA from 1 species
GAUGAUGAACCACUGCCGAGUAACCACUGAUCUCACUCGUGAGGAAAUGAAUCCCCAUAUCCUCAGCCUUGGCAUGUACUGUAUAGGAGAAAUUCAGUAAUCCAUUGGGCUUCCCAUCUGGAGUACGGACCUGAUAAUUCACAAACCUGACGAUUCCACGACUCUCUUCGAUCAAAUCCUUCAAGGGCACACGAACUUCCCCAAUAGUUUUGUCUCCAAAAUAAAGCCCUUCAUGGUAUAGAUCAAAAUGAAUAAAGAGAUGCUCACAAUCCACGACAGAAACCUCACUCAGAUCAAAAUGCAUCUCGUGAUUCCACUCAGGAUUCCCAUCUCCUUCUGCAUCUGUUGGCGUCCUUUGUUGCUGGUUCUGCUUUAAUUUCUCGUCAGGAUCAUCGCUCUCAAGCGAAACAAGAACGUACACCAGGAGUUUCUGGAAGAAAUUGAAUGCUUUCAGAUCUUUGCAAUACAUGACUUUGAGAUCCAAAGACUUUGAAUCCAUGGAUUCUCAGCUUGAUAUGGAUUCUGAUUAUCCACCCUCAAAUUUCGUUAUAAAUAUAGAAAUUGACGCG